CCUACGGGGGGCUGCAGUGGGGAAUAUUGGACAAUGGGCGAAAGCCUGAUCCAGCCAUGCCGCGUGUGUGAAGAAGGCCUUCGGGUUGUAAAGCACUUUCAGUGGGGAAGAAAGCCUUGGGGCUAAUACCCUCGAGGAAGGACAUCACCCACAGAAGAAGCACCGGCUAACUCCGUGCCAGCAGCCGCGGUAAUACGGAGGGUGCGAGCGUUAAUCGGAAUUACUGGGCGUAAAGCGCGCGUAGGCGGUCUGAUAAGCCGGUUGUGAAAGUCCCGGGCUCAACCUGGGAACGGCAUCCGGAACUGUCAGGCUAGAGUGCAGGAGAGGAAGGUAGAAUUCCCGGUGUAGCGGUGAAAUGCGUAGAGAUCGGGAGGAAUACCAGUGGCGAAGGCGGCCUUCUGGACUGACACUGACGCUGAGGUGCGAAAGCGUGGGUAGCAAACAGGAUUAGAUACCCUAGUAGUC
rnacentral:rRNA from 1 species